rnacentral:misc_RNA from 1 species
UGCAGGGUUCCUGGGAUGUCAAGGCCAGGUAAGGUUCUUCGCGUUGCAUCGAAUUAAACCACAUGCUCCACCGCUUGUGCGGGUCCCCGUCAAUUCCUUUGAGUUUCAACCUUGCGACCGUACUCCCCAGGCGGCGGACUUAACGCGUUAGCUCCGGCACGGACAGACUGAACUGCCCACACCAAGUCCGCAUCGUUUAGGGCGUGGACUAC